CAGCUAGAACAAAGGAGACGCAGAGAAAGUAAUGACUGUUUUCUUGGACAAUCCAACUAUCAAAAGGGAAAAUUUGGCUAUGUUCAUUUCCUGGUCCCAUCGAUAAUCUACAAAGAGAGUUGAAUCACAUCUUGGAGACUUUUGUCUCACUCUUUUACCUGAAAAUGGAGCCCAGACAUUUUCCUGACACUAAAGAUGUGCCUAAAGUAUGUGAGAUGAGUAUCAUCAAAAGAAGAAUGGCCAGCAAGUCAAGGGAGGGAAAAGAACCGAGGGAAGAAAGGAAUGCACAGGCACUAUACAACAACCUUCUGAUAUGGCUGCAUUCAGACCAGAAGCACCAGAAGCUAUGUGUCCAUAGCACUGUGUCCGUCCACACCUAUGUAGCUUCACCCCUGCUGAAUGCUUUUGCUCCAGGUUACAUGGGUUUAAAGUGUUUCCUCAGACUUUUGCACCAUUUUAUAAGCAAUACUCAUUAAGUAAACACUCAUAGAUACAAAUGUUUGAAGGAAAAAGAAUGAAUUCACAUUUGGCUGCUGAAACAUAUCCAUCAUUACUUAAAAAUGAAAAUCAGAAAUUAUAUGUAAAACCGUACCACACCCCCUCACUACAAGUACUCAUAUACAAUGGACAAUAUACGUUGGACUCUUCUGAUUUUCAAAAGGUGAGUUCCUCUGUUCUGUAAAUGCAUCUUGUCUGCAGUAAAGGUGUCCUGCAGCAAGGCUCAGUGGGCAACUCAUGGUCCAACACAUUAGGAGGACAGAUUUUAUGUUUUUAUCACAGGGCUUAAGAGACAUUUAUAUUCUUUGCAUCUUGGGUAGAUGUGGGAUUACAGUGAAAAUUCCAAGCCCUUCAGUCUCUCUGUAGCUUAAAGUCUUUCCUACCAGCCAAUGCAUUGUAAACACAGGGAAGAUAGGAAUGUGAAUAGAAGCAUAGAAAUGAUUAUCACUCCAUGUGCUUAAAAUUAGUUUCCUCUGAUAGUCAAAGUGGAAUGGCCGAAUUACCUUAAGUUCAGGGAGGGGAGAAUAAUGUCUCGCAUGCAUUUCUUUGUUUUCUUGUUCUGACUUUAACAGGCUGCAGUCUGUAGUGGCUGAAAAUGAGCAAAAUGACUACACCACAAGGUAGAGAUGUUGGGCCAGGGAUUGCCGUUAUCUGUGUAUCUAUGCCAAGCACAGAAAAAUAUCAAGGAGUUGUUAUGUGGUAUAUUUUAAGUGAUCAACAAGACAGAUGCUGCAGUCAUGCAACUCCUACAAGUACUUCUGAUCAAUCAGCUCUACAACAUGCAGGCUUCUAAUUACAAAGGAAAGCACAUGUAGAUAGCAAGGUUUGGUCAGAUUUUCCAGACUUCUUAGAUUUUCCAUUCCCUUCAGGCUCUUUGUUCACUACUAUGUGCGGGACCUUUGUCUGUUGUAUC